rnacentral:lncRNA from 1 species
GCCCUUGAUAGAUGUAGACAAGCCCAACGAUCAUCCUUUUGCCCCUUUACCUUCUCUCCGGUUAUUACUUAACCGUUGAGAGGGUAAACUUUGAGAGCAAUUAAUGGUCGCGUCGCUCCAAAACAAAACUGUUCAGAUCAACGUUCCGUCUCAUCAUUGCCUUUCAUUUCGAAUUCUUUCUGUCUUCCGAAGAAAUUAGCUCUCUUCUGCUCUCUGUCUC